rnacentral:lncRNA from 1 species
CAGAAUCAAGUCAAAUGUCUUUAAAUAUCUGUGCUCAGAGUUUCCCAGAGCAACCAGCACUGCUCACCAUUGCCCUGCACUGUUCUGCACUGUUCUGCAUGUCAGAGCCAGAGUGGAAGUGGGAGCAGUGGUGAAGGAAGAGUUCAGACAGAGCAGCUCCUCAGCGCUGUGUGAAAUGAGUGCACACGGCUGCACUGUCAGACUGUUAGAGAGUUAAAGCCUGGCAGCAGCACUUUCACACUGCUGAGGAACAGCAGGAGAACUUUAAGAUCCAGAAAACCACAAACUGGGGCAGAAUGAAUGGACCCUUGAGUCCGAGGCGAGAACCAGGGCCUGACCUCUCCUGUCUGCAGCAGUACAGCGAGUGGCUGUCCUGCAGGCAUGAAGCCAGCCUACUGCCCAUGAAGGAGGACCUCGCUCUCUGGCUUAACACCAUCCUGGGGCUGAAUAUAACAGCGGAGAACUUCAUGGAUGUGCUGGAGAAUGGAGCGGUUCUCUGCCAGCUGGCUGAAGAGCUCCAGGAGAGGAUGAUUCUGGUCAACAGUGGCAAGCUACCCAAUCCUGGGCAUCCCUUUAUUCGGCGUGUGAUUCGCUGGCGAGCUGAUGCCGCCCCGGGUUCCUUCUUUGCCCGGGACAACACGGCCAACUUCCUGUACUGGUGCCGAAAAGUUGGGGUGGGCGAGUCUCAUCUCUUUGAGUCAGAGGAUCUGGGUGAGUAUGGAAUUGACGCCCCAGGUCUGGUCAAACUGGAGCGAGAACUUGAGAAAGAAGAGAAUGGUUCACUCUCUCCAUCCAUGUUCUUCGCCUCGCCGUUACCGUCUCCCUCCUCUCCACCACUUCUGUUCCGUCCUGCUCCAUCACCCUCUCCUCCUCUCCCAGUGAAGCAGAUCUCAGAAGACCCUCCCUGCACAUGUCCAGUGAGGUUCUGCAUUGAGAAGCAGCCUAAAGGUCGAUACAGAGUGGGAGAUAAAGUGCUGUAUGUUAGGAUGCUGAAUGAUAAGCAUGUUAUGGUGCGUGUUGGUGGUGGGUGGGAGACGUUUGGAACGUAUCUGCUGAAGCACGACCCGUGCAGGAUGCCUGUUCUCACCCGGCCCGGACUCAAACCCUGCAAGCCCACCGUCAAAUCCCCCGGCAGCAAAGAGCCCUCACGAGACAGCUACCUGGUGGUGGGCACCCACUCUCGCCUCAGAAAGUAGAUCAGUGCCGUGCCAUCAUCAACCAUGUACUGGGUCAGGAAAUGAACGGACAAGGACUGAGAGGAAGCAUCAGUACUAAACAGUGGAAAAGAAGUGAAUUUAGUAUGUUUNACUCCUGGUGCAAAAAUUCAAGCAGUUCAGUUUGGUUUG